AUUGAACGCUGGCGGCAUGCCUUACACAUGCAAGUCGAACGGCAGCACGGGGGCAACCCUGGUGGCGAGUGGCGAACGGGUGAGUAACAUAUCGGAACAUACCCUAGAGUGGGGAUAACGUAGCGAAAGUUACGCUAAUACCGCAUACGAUCUAAGGAUGAAAGUGGGGGAUCUUCGGACCUCAUGCUCAUGGAGUGGCCGAUAUCUGAUUAGCUAGUUGGUGAGGUAAAGGCUCACCAAGGCGACGAUCAGUAGCUGGUUUGAGAGAACGACCAGCCACACUGGAACUGAGACACGGUCCAGACUCCUACGGGAGGCAGCAGUGGGGAAUUUUGGACAAUGGGGGCAACCCUGAUCCAGCAAUGCCGCGUGGGUGAAGAAGGCCUGGUGUAAGA
rnacentral:rRNA from 1 species